CGGCGGACGGGUGAGUAACGCGUGGGUAACCUACCCUGUACACACGGAUAACAUACCGAAAGGUAUGCUAAUACGGGAUAAUAUAUUUGAGAGGCAUCUCUUGAAUAUCAAAGGUGAGCCAGUACAGGAUGGACCCGCGUCUGAUUAGCUAGUUGGUAAGGUAACGGCUUACUAAGGCGACGAUCAGUAGCCGACCUGAGAGGGUGAUCGGCCACAUUGGAACUGAGACACGGUCCAA
rnacentral:rRNA from 1 species